GUGCUCGCUUCGGCAGCACAUAUACUAAUAAGUGG
rnacentral:snRNA from 1 species